CUUCAACUUCUCUCUCUCGUCACCAUGCUUCUCUCCUUGUCGCCGCCUGUGUCGCUGGACGACCGCCAUCACGUCCGACGCCACCCUAAACCCUCAAUCUCUCACAGAUUCUCACUCAAUUCUCUCUCUUUCUCUCGUCGCCCCUCUGUUUCUCUCUGAAUUUCUCGACCCGACUGAAGGUAUGAUCUCAAUCUCUCUCUUCGAAACUCUCUCUUAACUCUCUCAACUGCCUCAGCUCAUUUAUAUUUGGGAUUUUUCAAAAAAUUAUGAAUUUGCUUGUACAUUGGAAAUUCUUGUUUUGAUAAUUGCUCCAAACAUUUGAAUUCGAACCCGUUUGAUCAUUUGCAUUCGAACCCGUUUGAUCGUUUGCAUUCAUGUAAAUGAUUUGAAUUGAAUCUCAUGACUGAAGAAAUUGAAUAAAUGUGACAGGCUUUGAUGUUAUUUUUGAAUAAAUGUCUUGGCUAUUUUAUUUUUUUAAUUUUUAAUUUUUAUUGGUAUUGUGAGUUGGAUUUCUCAUACUAGCUACAUUGUGCUGUUGGUUCUAUUUGAGUUUUUUUGUUAUGGAGAUAUCAUUUUGGGAGGUCUACCUUUCUUAUUGUAUUGAUUUUCCAUUUGUUUCAACUGAACAUCGAAUUAUUGAAGGAAAAAAAAGCUUUUUGUUGGGAAAGUUUCUUUAAAGGGUUAUCUCUGGAAACUUUAUGAUUCUCGAUAAAGUUUGAAUAUUUUUUUAAUAGAAAAUGUUUUCUUGAUUGACAUAACAGUGGGAAAUUGUUUCUGCCUUGAGAAACUAUUUCCUAAUAAAAUGUUGAGUAAAACUUUUGAACAAUUGAAAAAUAUCUUGUUUCAAACAAACAUCAAUACCGUUUUUGAAUGUAAAGAAAAUGGUUUCUUCUGGUUAAAGAUAGUGAUUACAUGAAAGUUGUCUUCUCUCUCUCUCCCUUUCUUCCUCUCUCGGAGUGGGGGGUGGGGGAGAGGGUGGGAGGACUAAUAUGAACACAAAUCCUUCAAGUGCAGCCUUUUUUCUUCCUGUUGUGUGUGUGUAAGAAUAGCCAUUUUUCCAGGAGUAUAGCAAUCCAGGGUGUACAUCAUGUAGUUGCAUAUAUCAUUUUUCUAGGAGUAUAGCGAUCCAGAGGGUACAGCCCGUAGUUUGUAUGUUAAACUGAAAAGAGCUGCAAAGCUUUAUCCUUUUAUCUUAAACAAAUGAAGCUAUUGCUUGCUGAUGGAACAUUGUUUCCAUAUUCCCUUUUUUAAUUUAUUGUUGAACAUUUUCUCUUUGAAAAUGUUCUGUUGCAGAACUCGGUGUUCAAGUUUGCAUCUUCACAGUAUAGAAGAAUAUAUAAAGCAAAAUCAAUGGCAAGGCGUGCCAUCGGUGAACAGCUGAUCAUUCCAAAUGAAAACUUGUACAUUCAACAUGCUUCUGUUAAUGUUGUAUUGCCAUCCUUUGAGGUGAACAUUUUUAAGCUCAAAGAAUAGUUGGAAAUUUUUUUGGGACCCAGGACCACUUUGCAUUUACUCAUGAUAUGCUAAAUUGGUGCAGAAUUUCUUUUGACAUUUAUCCUUUGACUGUCAGAUUUGUGCAUGUAUAUAAUUUUCUUUGUUAAGGAUGCCCUUUUUUGUAAGAAAAGUGAACGCAUCCUUUCUAAGGCUACCCAACAACGUAUGUCAACAAUAGGAACCGUCUGUAUUUAUCCUUGAAAAAAUCAUUCAAAACCCUUGUUGUUUGGUUAUCUAAAAUUUGCCUAAAAAACGCAGUUGGAUAAAACUGAAACAAAAAUGUGGAUAAUCAAAUGGUUAAACAAUUUCGGAUUCAACUGAUUUUUUGCGUGUACUUAAUAGGUCAGAAAUAGGAUGUACUUAAUUUAGGAAAAUGAGGACACCAGGACCAUAGAAAGCCUCUAUAUAUAUAUAUAUAUACAUAUCUUUCUACACCAUGGCUUUACCACAAAACAAUUUCUCUUACUAUGCACAAAACAAUUUCUCUUACUAAGCACGUACUUGUUUUGCAGAGCCUAAUGCCGGUGGGAAGAGCAAGUGUUCUAAAACAGCUACAAAGAUAGGUGGAGUGGGCUUUGAGAGUCGUAAAGCUCUUAAUGACAUUACAAACAAGAUUUUACCCAAGGAAGCUUCAUCAAAGAAAAAGACACUACCUAAGGAAGAUUUUAAUGUAGCUGAAGAAGUUUUUGCAUGAUCACGAAAAAUGUAUCAAAGCAAAGGAGCCGCGAUGAAUAAGUUUUACUUGGACACGGUCCUUCCAGUACAAGGUAGCUAUAUCUUGAAUCCUGAUAUUCAUUAACUUUUUGUCUUCUGUCAAUAUUGUAUAUUGUGGCAGAAUUUGUCUCAAAUUCAUUGUUGACUUCUGUUUCCUAUUUGAAAUACACUGUUAAGUGAAACUUUCAUAUUUCCUUAUAAAGAAGUUAUUCCUAUUCCUCAUUGGACUUUGGUUUAAAUGAGUCUAUAUAUGGCAUUAGGGUGUGGGUAGUUUUAGGCAACAUAUCAGAAAGUUUUUUUAAAUUUAAGACUGUAGAAGUGCUUGGGUGUUUUUGGGUUUUGGGUUUUGGGUUUUGAGCUUUGUAAUCUUCUUUUUGUUAUCAUAUUAGGUUGUGAGUGAGAGUAAAGUUACAACAUAAUUUCUUCUCUCUGUGAUUGAUAUUGAGCUUUGGUCGAUUAGUUCUCAAUGGUGGCAUUAAGUUUGAAAUAGGGAAGUUAGCAGAUGAGAUGUCUUCAGUAUAUGACAACUGCCAUGUCAAAAUGCAUGCUGAACUGGUGCAUUAGGCUUCGCUAAAACCCUGUACAUAAAGAUGAACUGCUAUGCAGAGAAGGAUGAAGCGUGGAUAAAUCAGUAGUUCAAUUCUUUUAUGUCUGAGAAAUGAGUUGUUGCGGGAGAGGCUGCUGAAAAAGAUAUGCCUGAUAGAUUAUGCAAAAAGUUAGAAAAUCGUUACAUUACUAAAUGGCUUAACAAAAUGUAAUAUAUAGAUGGGUCAGGAUUGAGGGACACACAAAAAGCCACAAAAUUUAACAGGUCAGGAUUGAGGGACACACAAAAAGCCACAAAAUUUAACACACUUUUGAAACUCUUAGAUCUGACCACUUUCUAUGGUUGGGAUGAAUGCUGACAUAACUUUUUCACUUAAAAAAAAAAUAUAAAACAAAAUACUACUACUCCUUUUUUGGGAAGAUGAAUUCAUGUUCUGAAAACUUCUUUAUCUCUCCUCUUUUGAUCUUCCGUUUCCCUCUCGUUAAUUUUGUUUUUUUUGGCCCAGAUCUGUCUUUUUCAUUGAAGCAAGUCAUUUUUCUCCUCUGCAACUCUCCUUCCAAUUUUCAUAGAAAAAGAAUAAGUUGUCUUAUUUUCUGAACCUAUAUUUUGACUAAGGGAAUAUUUUUCACCUACUCAGACUUUUUGAGUUUGAUACUUUUGGAUUGAACCUGAUAAAAAAUGGAGUCGUUUUGGCAAUUCAAUGGCUUGGCUUCCAACUUUGUAUACCAUCCAACCAAAAUUCGAUUUGAACCAACUCAUAUUGUAAUUUGUUACAAGAGACCUGAUGAGAGAAGAAAUUUUGAUACAGUAAAUGGUAAAGUAAAUUCUCUCAACAAUUUGAACUCAAAGGAUUCUCAUUUAAUGGGUUCCAUGAUGGGUGGGACUAUCUCAAAUUAAACUUGGUCUGGUAUAUAUCCUAGAGAUUGGGGGAUUUAUAGAUAGCUUGUAAAUCACAACAAUAGUAAUAUUCCCCCUUCAACACCAAUAUGGGAUAUAUGCUAGCGAUUAGAUUACAAAAAUAUAACAGUUGAACUUUAGAUAAACAUGAAAAUCCGAGAACUUGUAGCCCAAAAUCAUAUCCCCUAUUGGAUUUCAUUGAACAUGCAAAGGGAGAUUCUCACUAUAGUUAUCUUAAUUGGUGCAAUAAGAUAUUUUCCAAGCAUCUUAUUUACUAUGAUGGCUUCAAGUUAAGAGAAUAUUACAGAGGGAGUUGCGGAAGGAACAGAGCUGCACAGGGAGUAUGGGUUAUGAAGUCGUAGAGGAAGAGAGUGAAUUAGAUUGUUGGGAAAUAGACAUGAAAUCAAAUUAAAAAAGAGAGAUAAUCGAAAAAAUAAUUAAGAAUGAGAGAGAGAGAGAGAGAGAGAGAGAGAUAGAGAGAGGAGUUUUAGAAGUUUGUGUCAUGGAGGGCAGUGGAUUAUUGUUUUACCUAUUACAUGAACAUGGGACAACUGUUAUCCCCACAGUAUCUAGCACUGAUCUAGCCCUAGAUUAUUUAUUUAUUUAUUGCUUUAGAUGCUAGCCUUGCCUUUUUUCUAUGUUACUUAUCUGAUUUUUUGUGCUUUAGGAUGAUCUUGAUAGUCCUCCUUGCUAUCCUGAAAUAGAAGAGAUUCCUGAACCAGAAGAGUUGUCCUUUUUUCAGUGGCUUUCUCCUCCAUCUUCUCCACUACGUUGGGAGUCCCCGCCAUUCUCUCCUUUAGCAUUGCCACUUGAGGUGGUUGAAUUUGUGUUGAGGGAAGGAAAUGAUUGAAUAUGCCCCCAUAUGUUCAACCUUUCUUUCCGGAUGAAAUGUAAAUCAGAUUUAGUGUUGUUAUUCUUGAUGUCUCUUUCCACAUCAAAGAUUUUGUAUUCGUUCUCAACUGGAGCUGUUGGGUAAUGGGCGUUGGGGCUUGCUCAUUUAAGAAAGGGCCCUUUUGAACCUAUAUUCUUCACGUUCAAUUCCGUUCUUAAUUGAAUUGCUUCCAGAUAUUAAAGCUCUACCUGGAACAAACCUCUUCGAUUCACAUAGCUGGGGUUUUGUUUCGUUUUGAUUGUCUUUUCUCGGUCAAUUUUCGUUUUGAUUGUUAAACAUGUGUAUGUGUAUAU
rnacentral:lncRNA from 1 species